AGCCCCUCUAACGUCAGGCUGGCAGUAUCUUGGGUUCAAUUAACAAGAAAGUCUACAGUAACAUUUUGUCAAUGGGGAAGGACUUGAAUUCACAGAACUGUCUCGGAAAGCCCUGGUCCUCGCAGUCCGCCUGAGAGAGUAGAGAAGACCCCCUCCCAGAACCUUCCUGUAAGGUCUCCCCGCUGACUUCCUGUAGUGGAUGUGACUGUGUGCCAGGUGCCUGCCGAAGACCCCUGUCACUGACUGUGCCCUUUGGGAAAGAGUCAACAAUGGCCUCCUCCUAUGGCUGACUUCGUUCAUGUUCAGGCUCUCCAGCUUGCUAGUGAGAAUUGCCAAGGAUUGGUUCAUGGCAGGAUAGAACUAAACUGAUAGAUGAAAGCUCCACAGUGCUUCAAGACGGGGUCCCGUUCAUGUUAAGCAGUUUUCCUUCCUUCAAAAUAAAAAACUAGCAGUCCUUA
rnacentral:lncRNA from 1 species